GGAUUGGAGAAGAGGUUGCAGAUGAUCAAGGAGCGACACGUGCAGGGAUGGCUUGAAAACGCACUUUCCCAGGUGGUUGGCUUCAGGUUCCAGGUGAGACCUAGUGGUAACUGAGUUGCAGGUGUGCCAUCAGAGAGCUCCUUCUGCCUGGGCUGCACUUUUGGAGGACUAAAACCAGCUUGAUUGCAUGGUACCUGUGGCUUGGUAGCGUAGAUGCAGCAUUACCAAGAGCCUGAGCAGGGUUGUAUCAGAGUCACCUCUUUCAUCUGCAAAGGGUGCUUUGUGCAGUUGUGGAGAGGGAAGGGAAAUCCUCAUGUCACGAAGCUCUGAGGGAAGGUGAGUGGUGUCAGCCUGGUCAUCGCUUAUCCUAAGCGAAGGGAAGACGCUCAGGUGUUUCUCUGUGAGGGUCCGAGGUGGCGUGGGUGAUGCUGGCCGCUCCUUUCAAGCUUGGACCUAAUUUGCAGGUCCA